GAUGAACGCUGGCGGCGUGCCUAAUACAUGCAAGUCGAGCGAACAGACGAGAAGCUUGCUCCUCUGACGUUAGCGGCGGACGGGUGAGUAACACGUGGAUAACCUACCUAUAAGACUGGGAUAACUUCGGGAAACCGGAGCUAAUACCGGAUAAUAUUUUGAACCGCAUGGUUCAAAAGUGAAAGACGGUUUUGCUGUCACUUAUAGAUGGAUCCGCGCUGCAUUAGCUAGUUGGUAAGGUAACGGCUUACCAAGGCAACGAUGCGUAGCCGACCUGAGAGGGGGAUCGGCCACACUGGAACUGAGACACGGUCCAGACUCCUACGGGAGGCAGCAGUAGGGAAUCUUCCGCAAUGGGCGAAAGCCUGACGGAGCAACGCCGCGUGAGUGAUGAAGGUCUUCGGAUCGUAAAACUCUGUUAUUAGGGAAGAACAAAUGUGUAAGUAACUAUGCACGUCUUGACGGUACCUAAUCAGAAAGCCACGGCUAACUACGUG
rnacentral:rRNA from 1 species